CCACCUAGAACACUAACAAGAGCAACGAGUACUUCAACGACAAAACAGACGCCCAUUAUGCCUACAAGAACAAAAACGGUCAAAUUACCAUCAACAGCGAUUACAUCUAAAACCACCUUUAUUGAGAAAUGGCUUCCUGUAAUUGUCGGUGUUUCUGCUGCCGUAUUGUUAGUAAUUAUUGGUGCUGUUACGUGUUUGUGUUUGACAAAAUCAAGAUUCCGUCGUAUCAAUCCUGAAGUUUAAAUCUAGCAAUAUUUGAUGGAUUCUAAAAAGAGUGUUCAUAUUUUCACUAAAGUAAAGGUGACCACAACUCGUAACACUUAUUAUUUGUUCUGUCCAUAUU